UACGUAGGGUGCGAGCGUUAAUCGGAAUUACUGGGCGUAAAGCGUGCGCAGGCGGUUUUGUAAGCCAGAUGUGAAAUCCCCGGGCUUAACCUGGGAAUGGCCGUCGAAACUGGCGAACUGGAGUGUGGCAGAGGGGGGUGGAAUUCCGCGUGUAGCAGUGAAAUGCGUAGAGAUGCGGAGGAACACCGAUGGCGAAGGCAGCCCCCUGGGCUGACACUGACGCUCAGGCACGAAGGCGUGGGGAGCAAACAGG
rnacentral:rRNA from 1 species